rnacentral:rRNA from 1 species
AACGAACGCUGGCGGCAUGCCUAACACAUGCAAGUCGAACGAGACCUUCGGGUCUAGUGGCGCACGGGUGCGUAACGCGGGGGAACCUGCCCUUAGGUUCGCAAUAACUCCCCGAAAGGGGUGCUAAUACCGGUUAAUGUCUUCGGACCAAAGAUUUUUCGCCUUUGGAUGGGCCCGCGUUGGAUUAGCUAGUUGGUAGGGUAAAAGCCUACCAAGGCGACGAUCCAUAGCUGGUCUGAGAGGAUGAUCAGCCACACUGGGACUGAGACACGGCCCAGACUCCUACGGGAGGCAGCAGUGGGGAAUAUUGGACAAUGGGCGAAAGCCUGAUCCAGCAAUGCCGCGUGAGUGAUGAAGGCCUUAGGGUUGUAAAGCUCUUUUACCCGGGAUGAUAAUGACAGUACCGGGAGAAUAAGCUCCGGCUAACUCCGUG